GGACGCCUGCGGCGCGGAUGCUGUGUGCUGUGGACCCACCUGGGGUUCAUGGAGUGGGCCACGGGGCCCAGCCCUAAGCACUGCUGCGCCCAGGGUCACCGUGCCUCCUGCUGAGGGGUCCCCGCGCCACUGGCUCUCACCAUUGCCCUCGCCUGCCGAUGGCCUCUGCUGCCCAGCCUGGGGCCAGCUCUACCGCCUGAGCCCCCUGCCCCACUCCAGGACUCACCGUACCCCGAUGGGGUAACGUGACACAGGCCCCGCACGUCAGAGGCCGCUGUCCCCACGGCCACUGCCCGUGACCCCUGGCCCAAGGCAGCUGGAGUUGGUUCAGUUCAAGUUCAUUCUUUCUCUGGCCCUUGGGGGCUUGGGGCCCACCUCUGAGUGAAGGGGGCUGUCUGCCCAUCCACCAAUGUGGAGAGGGCGCCCCCGGCGUGGGGUCCAGCUCUGGACACUGCUUGGCGGCCGGGUUCACUUUGGGUUUUUAAGUUUUCUUUGCUGAGCUUUUUUGGUUGUUCUUUUUAUUUUUUGCCUCUUUAUGACUAUCCAGCUCUGAGAGACGGGAGGUUGGAGUUGCCCG
rnacentral:lncRNA from 1 species